UACGUAGGAUGCAAGCGUUGUCCGGAAUUAUUGGGCGUAAAGAGCGCGCAGGCGGUAUGACAAGUCAGAUGUGAAAGAGGCCGGCUUAACCGGCAAGGGUCAUUUGAAACUGUCAGACUAGAGUGCAGCAGAGGAUAGUGGAAUUCCCGGUGUAGUGGUGAAGUGCGUAGAUAUCGGGAGGAACACCAGUGGCGAAGGCGACUAUCUGGGCUGCAACUGACGCUGAGGCGCGAAGGCUAGGGUAGCAAACAGG
rnacentral:rRNA from 1 species